CACGUAGGGCGCAAGCGUUGUCCGGAAUUAUUGGGCGUAAAGAGCUCGUAGGCGGUUUGGAUAGUCGGGUGUGAAAACUCCGAGCUUAACUCGGAGACGCCACCCGAUACUGCCAUGACUAGAGUCCGGUAGGGGAGCAGGGAAUUCCUGGUGUAGCGGUGAAAUGCGCAGAUAUCAGGAAGAACACCAAUGGCGAAGGCAGCUCUCUGGGACGGUACUGACGCUGAGACGCGAAAGCGUGGGGAGCGAACAGG
rnacentral:rRNA from 1 species